CGAGUUCAAUACUGAAAAGACUCUUAGAGUACUCUCUUUGAAGUUAGGAAAUAAUGACUGGAAUAUAAUAGUAUGCAAUUAGCAGCUUACUUCCUAUAUUUUUUUCUUCUUAGUGGAAGAGAGGCCAUGAUCAAUUUAGUAUCUUGUCCUAGAUCAGAGAAAGUACUACACCAUAACUUUAAGAAUACUCUGGGCCUGGCGCGGUGGCUCAUGCCUGUAAUCCCAGCACUUUGGGAGGCCGAGGCGGGCAGACACUAGAGGUCAGGAGUUCGAGACCAGCCUGGCCAACAUGGUGAAACCCCAUCUCUACAAAAAAAUACAGAAAACUAGCUGAGCUUGGCAGCAGGCACCUGUAAUCCUAGCUACCUGGGAGGCUGAGGCAGGAGAAUUUCUUGAGCCCUGGAGACAGAGGUUGCAGUAAGCUGAGAUCACGCCAUUGCACUCUAGCCUGGGUAACAAAGCAAGACCCCGUCUUGGAAAAAAAAAAGAAAAGAAAAGAAAAGAAAAAAAAGAAAUAGAAUACUCUGGUGACACUGAAAGCAUUAAUAGUGUACUACCAAAGUCUUGCCAUUUUCUCUGCAAUUUCUACUAGAGAGAAUCUUAGCCACAUAACCUGCUCUGUUUGUGAAUGCCAGUUUUCUAAUUGAACAUCAG
rnacentral:lncRNA from 1 species